CGCGUGGGAAUCUACCCAUCUGCGGGGGACAACCAGGAGAAAUCCUGGCUAAUACCGCGUAAGCCCUACGGGGGAAAGUCGGGAUCUUCGGACCUGACGCUGAUGGAUGAGCCCGCGUUGGAUUAGCUAGUUGGUAGGGUAAAGGCCUACCAAGGCGACGAUCCAUAGCUGGUCUGAGAGGAUGAUCAGCCACACUGGGACUGAGACACGGCCCAGACUCCUACGGGAGGCAGCAGUAGGGAAUCUUGCGCAAUGGGCGAAAGCCUGACGCAGCCAUGCCGCGUGAAUGAUGAAGGUCUU
rnacentral:rRNA from 1 species